CUGGGGAUGAACAAGGAUUCACUCCGGCUCUGCCACCUGGCUGCUUAACUUCUCGAAGCCUGUCUCGUGUUCUGUCUCAAAAUCGGGAUGAUGCAUUCAUCACCCUGCAGAGGGCAUUCUGAGGAUCAGAGGUAUAGGUGAAGACUCCGGUCAGAUGAAGCCACACCCGGAGUAUCACUGAAAGAUGGAACACGGUGAACAUUUGAGACGUCACUGGGAGACCCCCAUCUUGGAAGUCUAGGUUAUGAUAUUUUUCACACCGCUGCUCAUCACAAACCUCUGAACUCUUCAAGUCUCCUUUUCUUCGGGCCCCUUGCCUG
rnacentral:lncRNA from 1 species